GAGGCGUGGCUUCCGGAGCUAACGCGUUAAGUCGACCGCCUGGGGAGUACGGCCGCAAGGUUAAAACUCAAAUGAAUUGACGGGGGCCCGCACAAGCGGUGGAGCAUGUGGUUUAAUUCGAUGCAACGCGAAGAACCUUACCUGGUCUUGACAUCCACGGAAGUUUUCAGAGAUGAGAAUGUGCCUUCGGGAACCGUGAGACAGGUGCUGCAUGGCUGUCGUCAGCUCGUGUUGUGAAAUGUUGGGUUAAGUCCCGCAACGAGCGCAACCCUUAUCCUUUGUUGCCAGCGGUCCGGUCGGGAACUCAAAGGAGACUGCCAGUGAUAAACUGGAGGAAGGUGGGGAUGACGUCAAGUCAUCAUGGCCCUUACGACCAGGGCUACACACGUGCUACAAUGGCGCAUACAAAGAGAAGCGACCUCGCGAGAGCAAGCGGACCUCAUAAAGUGCGUCGUAGUCCGGAUUGGAGUCUGCAACUCGACUCCAUGAAGUCGGAAUCGCUAGUAAUCGUGGAUCAGAAUGCCACGGUGAAUACGUUCCCGGGCCUUGCACA
rnacentral:rRNA from 1 species